rnacentral:rRNA from 1 species
GGGGAAUAUUGCACAAUGGGCGAAAGCCUGAUGCAGCGACGCCGCGUGAGGGAUGGAGGCCUUCGGGUUGUAAACCUCUUUCGCUCAUGGUCAAGCCGCAACAGUGGUUGUGGUGAGGGUAGUGGGUAAAGAAGCACCGGCUAACUACGUGCCAGCAGCCGCGGUAAUACGUAGGGUGCGAGCGUUGUCCGGAAUUAUUGGGCGUAAAGGGCUUGUAGGCGGUUUGUCGCGUCUGCCGUGAAAUCCUCUGGCUUAACUGGGGGCGUGCGGUGGGUACGGGCAGGCUUGAGUGCGGUAGGGGAGACUGGAACUCCUGGUGUAGCGGUGGAAUGCGCAGAUAUCAGGAAGAACACCGGUGGCGAAGGCGGGUCUCUGGGCCGUUACUGACGCUGAGGAGCGAAAGCGUGGGGAGCGAACAGGAUUAGAUACCCUGGUAGUCCACGCUGUAAACGUUGGGCGCUAGGUGUGGGGGCCACCCGUGGUUUCUGCGCCGUAGCUAACGCUUUAAGUGCCCCGCCUGGGGAGUACGGCCGCAAGGCUA